CGCCGUCACAGGAGCCGCCACGGGAUCCAGGUCCCUAGCCAGGCACCAACCAGUCCAAGCUCUCCAAGCGGUCCCGUAUGAGCGUCUAGUGCCGGGAGCCCAUGCGUCAGCCAGGAGGCGUCGAGUUGUGUCCGAAACUCCUUGGACUUCCCAAGGACCCCUGAAAUCCUCCAUGCGAGUAGCCGUAACGAUGCGUCCAGUAGGAGGGGAUGUUGUUGGCCCAACGGGUUCAGCAGAAGGUCCUGGUUGGAUGGCAGGAGUGCGGGAACGUCUAUUGCCAGUUCCAGGAGUUGUGGGAACCACGACUGGGUACCCCAGAAUGGGGUUAGUAGGACCAAAUCCGCCAUCUGGUGUCGUACUUGGAGUAGCACUCGGGGAAGCAUGGCAAAUGGAGGGAAAGCGUAAAGGUGUGGGCCGGACCAUUCUUGUAGGAAGGCAUCCACUGCUUCCGCGGCCGGGUCUGGACGC